GGAAGCACUCGCAGUACAGCCGAGCGCGCGUCGGGCUCCGGGGGAGAGAGAGAAAUCCGGCUAAAAUCUGAGUCGGAGGGAGGUUUAACCACAGAACGGUUCCGAUAGGAUUAUUCCUUAAAGGGGACGCGCCAUUGUCAAGAGAACGGAGCCUGGGGCCCGAGGGCGGGGACCAGCGGCGCCAGAGGAGGAGGCAGCUGCACUUGGACUGGGGACGGGACUUUACCAUUCCAUAUUCUGCUUUGUACAUGGUGAAUCACUACUGCUUUGCACGAGUGUGCCCACUUGUGUGCCUAUAAAGUACAAGCUCCAGAUUGAAAAGUCUUCUAGAUGGAUCCUUUCCAAAUUUGGUGUCUUGUCGACAAACUCUGUGCCUCAUCAACACUUUCUAAGUGAGACGAAGCCAUUUAUUUGAAUCUUGGAUGAUUAAUACCUAAAUGCUUAAUUCACAAAACUGCUCAAGAGUCCCACAGUCAGGAGUAGAUGAUCCAAGUUACCUCCAAGAAAUUACUGUCUUGAGUUCUACGGUAAGAUUAUAACAAAAUUAUUUUAAAGGUUAAAUAGUGACUGUGAGGUCUUAUA
rnacentral:lncRNA from 1 species